GCGGAAGUAGUUCAGUUGGUAGAAUGCAACCUUGCCAAGGUUGAGGUCGAGGGUUCGAGUCCCUUUUUCCGCU
rnacentral:tRNA from 1 species